UACGUAGGGGGCAAGCGUUGUCCGGAAUUAUUGGGCGUAAAGGGCACGCAGGCGGUAUGGUAAGUCUGAUGUGAAAGGCCACGGCUCAACCGUGGAGGUGCAUUGGAAACUGUCACACUUGAGUGUAGGAGAGGAAAGCGGAAUUCCACGUGUAGCGGUGAAAUGCGUAGAUAUGUGGAGGAACACCAGUGGCGAAGGCGGCUUUCUGGCCUACAACUGACGCUGAGGUGCGAAAGCGUGGGGAGCGAACAGG
rnacentral:misc_RNA from 1 species